UACGGCCAUAUCACGUUGAAACAUCGGUUCUCGUACGAUCAUCGAAGUUAAGCAACGUCAAACCUGGUCAGUACCUAGAUGGGUAACCACUUGAGAAUACCAAG